CCCAAUCCUAAUACGGGGAGGUAGUGACAAUAAAUAACAAUGCUGAUACUAUGUAUUAGUAAUUGGAAUGAGAACAAUUUAAAACCCCUUAUCGAGUAACCAUCAGAGGGCAAGUCUGGUGCCAGCAGCCGCGGUAAUUCCAGCUCUGAUAGCGUAUAUUAAAGUUGUUGCAGUUAAAAAGCUCGUAGUUGGAUAUUAGAAUUAAUUUGUAUGGUCGGUUGUGAUAAACAAUCUUGUACUGUAUAAGUGAUUCUUUCCUACUGGUUACUCGACUCUGUCCUUUACUGGAUGGAGUAGUGUCGCAAGGCAUCGCUUAGUGUUAUAUUGCCUGUAAGUGUAGUUAUUGGGUAAAACUGGUAGUGAAACUUAUGGGAUCACAGUAUGAUAUUAAGUGGGGUUCCAGUUCAUUUACUUUGAGUAAAUUAGAGUGUUCAAAGCAGCCUCUUGGGGCAUUGAAUAGAUUAGCAUGGGAUAAUAGAAUAGGACUCUUGUCUUUUUAUUGGUUUAAAGAUUUAGAGUAAUGAUUAAU
rnacentral:rRNA from 1 species